rnacentral:lncRNA from 1 species
AAGAAGAUGUCUUGUUGGAUAAGCCAAGGAUAACUAUCUCUUUCAUCUCCCUUGAUUGUCCUUAGGGUCACCGGCAUCUGUCCGGUGGUUCCUUUCCCUUCUUUGAUUUUUCUUUUUCAAACAUGUAAUUCCACACAAAAAAAAUUCAAAAGGUGAUUGUGAAUGCAAUACCAAAAUUAAAGUGUGUAUCUGUGUUUCUAUACAAUUUAUUUUUUCAUCUCUCAUGUUUGUUUCUUCAACUUUCAUUGUGUAAUUUCUAACGAUUACACAGAAUUUCCUCCGGCAAAUUUUGCUGAGUCCUUAACAAAUCUAACACAUAUUGUUAAUUUUGUGUUCGUUUCCGGUGGUUUUCGUUAAUAUGUGAUGACUAUCCGAUCUUUAAAACAAAUCUUAUUUGAUUUUCCAUGGAAACAACGUCCACCAAAAUUAAAGUGUGCAUCCCUGUUUCUAUACAAUUUAUAUUUCAUCUCUCAUAUUUAUUUCUUCAACUUUCGUUGUGUAAUUUCUAACGAUUACACAGAAUUUUCUCCAAAUUUUUUUGUUGAGUCCUUAACAAAUCUAACACAUAUUUUUAAUUUUGUGUUCGUUUCCAGUGGUUUUCGUUAAUAUGUGAUGACUAUCCGAUCUUUAAAACAAAUCUUAUUUGAUUUUCCAUGGAAACAACGUCCACCAAAAAAAAUGUCAUGGACUCAAAAAGCGGAAGAAGAUCUAAAUAUCGAGAGAAGAAGUCUGAUGUUGUCCAAGGCAUUCAUAAUUUAUAUUUUGAUACAAUAUACUUGGUAUCAAAAUAUUUUACAUAUGAGACUACAACACAUAACAGAAGAUGUAUUCUCUUCGUUGUAUGUGAUAUCCAUACAAUCGUUGAGAAUCGGCCUUGU